CGCACCUUGCGCUCAUAGGUAUUCCUAUGAGCAUGUCUGUUUGAGUGUCAUUAAUAACCAACAAAGCCCCCUUUUUGUAGCAAUACAAAAGGUGCUAGGGUUUUGGAUGUUGAUCUUUCAUUGCUAGUGUUUUCUUAUAAACAUAAGCUAGAUCGAAAUAUAAGAGCAGAUCAUUUUAAAGGUCGAUGGUCUCAGUUGAAGUUGGCGUAAUAAUUAUUUCGUCAAUUAGUAGACUUGAGAAUUAACCGUUACUUUUAUUGACGCUAAUAGCUAGUACAUUAUUAAAGCUUGACCUCAAAUCAGAUAGGACUACCCGCUGAACUUAA
rnacentral:misc_RNA from 1 species